rnacentral:misc_RNA from 1 species
GGUAACUCUAUGAAUGAUAUCACGAGGCUGUGGAAGCUCUGAGUCGUAACUCUGUUGAGUUUUGUGGGUAGCCUAACCUGAUUUUUAUAUUCUUCCUUAAUAGUAAGUCAUCGAGUUGCAACACAUUUCUUUAAUGGUGAAAACUAUCAGAUUUGGGCGGUAAGGAUGAAACUGUAUCUAGAUGUUAUGGAUAUGUGGAGACAGCCAAACAUUGCCUAACAAUCCUACUAUGGCCCAAAUCGAGAACCAUAAAGACAAAAAACCAGAAAAUCAAAAGCUUGUUUAUAUUCUUUAG